CCACCCCCUGUCGUUCUCCCAUGGUCGCGAAGCCUUCUGGGAGUUGUAGUACGGUACCCGGCCACUGCACCGGGAACACUGGGGACGGGCGCAGGGGCGGGGCUGCGGGGACAGCGGGUCCCUCUCGGAGGGCUUGCUUUCAGCGCCUGGCAGUCCCGAGCGCAGACCGUAGCCUUCCGACUCCCGGAGCCAGUGUGAGAGGCCCGGACGCUUACGUUCCCGGGAGUUCCGAAAGACUAAUUCCCCAGCCGCCGCGCGUUGCGGGCGCCAAAAGCAGAAGGUUGCAGCCGAUGCCUGCGAUAAAACCGCGUCUGAUUGUCUGCCCGCCCACCCCGGCCCAGGCCGGCUCAAAUGUCGUCUCCGCUAAGCCCUCUCCCGUUUUCCGUUGCUUCCUUGGAGCUCUCAUAAUACAUGCAAACCUCCCA